CCCUGGGCAGCCCCACCGCCGCUGUGGCCUAGUUGCCACCACAGCCCGGGAGGAGCCCAGGCACCGUCACCCCCGCCGUUUGGGGAACAAAUGGUUCAGGGUAAGCAACAGAUACGGUUUCAUCAACAGGAACGUCACCAAGGAAGAUGUGUGUUCAUCAGACUGCCGUGAAGGAGAACCCCGGGGAGGACCCUGGCGGCGGGGGAGCUGCGGAGGCCGCGGAGUCCGAUGUUGAGGGAGAAAAGGGCGAGGCGGCGGCAAGUGUUCCAGGGCCUGGUGGGGCCCAGGUCAAGGCAGUAAACCUGCGGCCACCGUAACCACUGCAGACGCGGGACCUCCCCGCCGUCACCGGCAGAAUCACCAGAAUCCUCCGUGGGGAACGGAAGGAGGGAUGAGACAGCGCUGCCGCGGGCCAGGCCCACCACGCGGGCCCCACCGCAGAGUCCCACUUUCCUCCAUGGAGGCCGCAGUUCUCCAGCCUCCGGGGCGGCCGGGAGCAGCGAUGCGGGGGUGACAGCGCGGGGAGCGGGGACACCAGCGGGGCAGCGAGUGUACCGGGGACGCAGACCACGAUUCCGCAGGACCCACCUCACCCAAGACGGCCUGUAGAGGACAGCGAGGAAGAGGAUAAAGACAAUCCGGGAGAUGAGACCCAAGGUCACCAGCCACCUCAGCACCGGGGCCGCCGCAACUUCGAUUACCGACGCGGUCGCACAGAAAACCCUAAACCACAAGAUGGCAAAGACACAGAAGCAGCUGAUCCACCAGCUGAGAAUUCCUCGCUCCAGGCUGGGCAAAUGCGGCUGCU
rnacentral:lncRNA from 1 species